GAUGAACGCUGGCGGCGUGCCUAAUACAUGCAAGUCGAGCGAACGGACGAGAAGCUUGCUUCUCUGAUGUUAGCGGCGGACGGGUGAGUAACACGUGGAUAACCUACCUAUAAGACUGGGAUAACUUCGGGAAACCGGAGCUAAUACCGGAUAAUAUUUUGAACCGCAUGGUUCAAAAGUGAAAGACGGUCUUGCUGUCACUUAUAGAUGGAUCCGCGCUGCAUUAGCUAGUUGGUAAGGUAACGGCUUACCAAGGCAACGAUGCAUAGCCGACCUGAGAGGGUGAUCGGCCACACGGGAACUGAGAAAGGGUCCAGACUCCUACGGGAGGCAGCAGUAGGGAAUCUUCCGCAAUGGGCGAAAGCCUGACGGAGCAACGCCGCGUGAGUGAUGAAGGGCUUCGGAUCGUAAAACUCUGUUAUUAGGGAAGAACAUAUGUGUAAGUAACUGUGCACAUCUUGACGGUACCUAAUCAGAAAGCCACGGCUAACUACGUG
rnacentral:rRNA from 1 species